rnacentral:rRNA from 1 species
UACGAAGGGUGCAAGCGUUACUCGGAAUUACUGGGCGUAAAGCGUGCGUAGGUGGUUUGUUUAAGUCUGUUGUGAAAGCCCCGGGCUCAACCUGGGAAUGGCAAUGGAUACUGGCAGGCUAGAGUGCGGUAGAGGGUAGUGGAAUUCCCGGUGUAGCGGUGAAAUGCGUAGAGAUCGGGAGGAACACCAGUGGCGAAGGCGGCUACCUGGACCAGCACUGACACUGAGGCACGAAAGCGUGGGGAGCA